rnacentral:lncRNA from 1 species
CCGGGGUGUCGGAGCCCCAGCGCCCUUGCCUUCUGCCUGUGACCUGAGCCCCAGGGUUCUGCGGCGGAAGUUCUGGCACGUCCAGGGGAAAGAUGCGGCAGGGGACAGAAGAUGGUGGCAUCCACGGGUGGGGGCAGCAGGGACCCCGAUUUUGUCUCUUGCAGGAAGAGGUGGAUUUUGAGAGCUGUGCUGGGAAUCAAGAAGGGCCCAGCUAACGGGGAGCCCAGGAGGGACCUAUGGUCAGGACAAGGACCCCAGACCUGGGGGCCAGGCUCUCUCCAAGGCCGGGCCUCCUUGCUCCACAGCAUGCACGAGGACCAUAGGGGCAGCGGUCACUUUCCUGACAGGACUCUUGGCCCAGGACAGAGAGGACAGGAGCCAGAGCUGAGAGCCUUGGCAGGGACCUCACACCCUUCGGCCACCAUGCCAACUUUGCCACUUGCUGAGCCGGG